rnacentral:rRNA from 1 species
UGCGUAGGUGGCUAUUCAAGUUAGUGGUGAAAUCCCGGGCGUCAACCUCGGUGCUACCACUAAUACUGUUUAGCUUGAGUGCAGGAGAGGUAACUGGAAUUCCUAGUGUAGCGGUGGAAUGCGUAGAUAUUAGGAGGAACACCAGAGGCGAAGGCGAGUUGCUGGACUGUAACUGACACUGAGGCACGAAAGCGUGGGGAGCAAACA